CCACCGUGCCGGUUCCUAAGAAAAGCCCCGGCUAAUUACGUGCCAGCAGCCGCGGUAAUACGUAGGGGGCAAGCGUUGUUCGGAAUUAUUGGGCGUAAAGCGUGCGCAGGCGGUCAUGUAAGUCUGGUGUUUAAUCCCGGGGCUCAACUCGGGGUCGCAUCGGAAACUGUGUGACUUGAGUGCAGAUAGAGGAGAGUGGAAUUCCACGUGUAGCGGUGAAAUGCGUAGAGAUGUGGAGGAACACCAGUGGCGAAGGCGACUUUCUGGGCUGUAUACUGACGCUGGGCGCGAAAGCGUGGGGAGCAAACAGGAUUAGAUACCCUGUAGUCCACGCCGUAAACGAAGAAUGAUAGGUGGUAGGGGUUUAGAUACCUUUGGUGCGGAAGUUAACACAUUAAGCAUUCCCCCUGGGGAGUACGGUCGCAAGACUGAAAUUCAAAGGAAUUGCGGGGGACCCGCCCAAGCAGUGAAGUAGGUGGUUUAAUUGGAAGCAACGGGAAGACCCUUACCACGUCUUGCCAUCCCUCUAGCCGUCCUAGAGAUAGGGCUUCCCUUCGGAGCACAGGCGCCAGGUGGUGCAUGGUUGUCGUCAGCUUGUGUCGUGAGAUGUUGGGUUAAGUCCCGCAACGAGCGCAACCCUUAGCCUUAGUUGCCAGCAUUCAGUUGGGCACUCUAGAGUGACUGCCGGUGACAAACCGGAGGAAGGUGGGGAUGACGUCAAAUCAUCAUGCCCCUUAUGGCCUGGGCUACACACGUCAUACAAUGGCUGGUACAACGGGAAGCGAAGCCGCGAGGUGGAGCGAAUCCUAUAAAGCCAGUCUCAGUUCGGAUUGCAGUCUGCAACUCGCCUGCAUGAAGUCGGAAUUGCUAGUAAUCGCGGAUCAGCAUGCCGCGGUGAAUACGUUCCCGGGUCUUGUACACACCGCCCGUCACACCAUGAGAGUUGGCAUCACCAGAAGUAGGUGGCGUAACCGCAAGGAGCCAGCUUGCCCAAGGGG
rnacentral:rRNA from 1 species